GCUGAGUAUAGUGGCAUAUACCUGUAAUCCCAGCUGCUGCUUAGGAGGCUGAGGCAGGAGGAUCACAAGUUCAAAGCCAGCUUCAUCAAUUUAGCGAAGCCCUUAGCAACUUAGUGAGAUCUUGUCUCUA
rnacentral:sRNA from 1 species